GCCCUCCUUCAGGAUCACCUGGUUCUGCUCCUCUGACUGUGGCCCUCCUUCAGGAUCACCUGGUUCUGCUCCUCUGACUGUGGCCCUCCGUGUCUCCUGCAGACCCCGGGCUGUUGUGCUGGGGAAUGCAGCACGUCCUGUUGGCCGGCAGGGCUGCAGGCGGAUGGACAGCUCUUUAAACGAGGAAGCACCUGGGGCUCCGCCUCAGCUCUGCCCCCUGGUGGGGAGACACGGAGACCCGAGGAGAGGCCCGAGGAGAGGCCACGGUGCGGUCACACACCACUCCACCCCCCUGCAGGGGCAUCCGGUGUCUCUGUGUCAUGAAUCUGUAGAUCGUGUGCUCCACCAUUGGAAAAAAGGGAGCUACAGGAGGCAAGAGAAGAAGCCGCCCUUUACAGGGACACAUCUGGACACUGGUUUCUGCUCUGAGGAUCCCAGGGAGGUGACUUUGUCCCUUUCUUCCGCUUUAUUUAAUAAAGAAU